AAAUACUGACUUGGGUAAGUUUCCUUUAUGAAGGUCUGGACACUGCGCAUCUCAGGAGGCAGCCGUGAGGGUGACGCCUGGUCAAUGGUGUAGUUUCCCUCCCCAUCCUCUGGCUCACUCAUCUUCACACUGACAAACAAAGAAUGAAGAAGACAACACAGCUUGUUGACUCGCCUGUGGGAUGUAAGGAUGAUGCUGCGACCGGCAUCCCUUACGGAGGUCAGGGCAUCCCAGAGGAGGCGGCGUGCCACUGGGUCCAUCCCUGAGGAGGGCUCAUCCAGGAGCACCAGUGGAGGGUCACCCACCAGUGCCACACCUGUACUCAGCUUCCUCUUGUUUCCACCACUGCAAGAAUAUUACCAGACUUUAUUUACUUAUUGUAUUAUUACAGGAAAGAGUCAAGCUUAUGCUGUGUGUGUGUGUGUGUGUGUGUGUGUGUGUGUGUGUGUGUGUGUGUGUGUGUGUGUGUGUGUGUGUGUGUACUGAUGAGGUAAAGGAAUAAUGGAAAUUGUAUACUUGUGGUGUUCUAUGUCAUUAUUGAGAGAGAUUCAUGAGAGACUGUAGGAAGUGACUGCAGUUAGUAGUAAGCAUACUUACAGUGGGGGAAAUUUGUGGUUCUCUUGGCUGUGUCAGAGAGAGAGAGAGAGAGAGAGAGAGAGAGAGAGAGAGAGAGAGAGAGAGAGAGAGAGAGAGAGAGAGAGAGAGAGAGAAUUGCAUUUUUUGAUUCAUGGCUAAGAGUAAGAUAACUUGUAGCACAAAAUCUCUGUUCACUGAGCCAUUGCUAACAGUGCUCAUCUGUCUUGUGAGGCCCACAAGGCAAGAUUUGAUUAGUGUGUUGUUUUGUGCCUCACCCUCUUUUGUUGUGCCACAUUUGGUGUAUGACGGCCUGGUUACCUUUUGCAAGGUAAACAUUCCAUUCAAACAGAUAUAAGCUUAGAUAGGUGUGAGCAUGUGUGUUUGUCAGGUAGUGGUGAAGUAAUUUGUUGUGGAGGUCUGGCUGGCCCAAAUUGAUAUCUGGAAGAAAUCAGAAAGUGAUGGCAAGGCAGUGCUGUCACUUUCUGGGUCCAUGAGGGUAUUAUUUUGGGCUGGCUAGGCCGGGGGCAGGUUCAUCUCCCCUCCUCAACAAAUCGCUUUACCACCACCUGACAAACACAGAUGCUCACUCCUGCCUGAACCAAUAUAUUUGCUUGUUUGUAAUGCCUGCCUUGUAGAUAACCACAGCUAUAACACUCCUGGCCAUCCCACACCAAAUGUGGUGGUGCAACACACACACACACACACACACACACACACACACACAAAAGAGAAAGAGGCAGAAAAUAACAACCCUCACCAGACAGCUGAACACAGCUGUUCUGCCGACAAUGUUGCCAAGGCAACAUUGUUGGCAAAUGCUCAUUGAACAGAGAUUUUACGCUACAUGAACUCAAUCACAGCAAUGAAUCUAUAUAUGCAAUUAAUCUUUGCCAGCCACCCCACUAAUUAAUUGCAUAGACCAUACUAUGGAACAUACUGAGAGUGAGAAAGAAAGAGUGUGAGGGAGCAAGGUAGCUAGUUAGCUGUGGUUAGUAUGCAUGCUGUGGAUCUGUGUGUGUCCAGGUGUGUGCACAUGCUUGUUAACAAACCUGUAGUUCUUGAAGAGGUUGUCAAGAUGUUGAGUGAUUAGCAGCUCCUCUGCCAAGCUCUUGAUGGUGGAGUCAAUAAGUCGCUCAGGCACACCCCGCAGCCGGGCAAACAUACGCAGUGUCUCCCGGCCUGUCAGGUGGUCCAGGAGUGCAUCAAACUGAGGGCAGUAGCCAAUGUCCUGCCGCACCUGCAAGUGACACCUGGCUGAGGUGGCCAGAAGAGUAUCUUUUCCAGGUGGCCAGAAGAGUAACAAGUAGAGGAUACAGUAGCAACAGUCAGUGAAGAAUAUUUCUACUCAGACUGGUGUCAGUGUCUGCAUGUGCCAGAAACUCAUUAAGUGGUUUCUUGAUGAAGGCGGGAAGGACCUGCCGACCCCUUGUUCCAGAUCUGGUAGGCCAAGAUUCAAGGACCCAGAAACUUAUUGGAAGGCAAGUAUCUGCCACUCCCCACCUGACAGCACGUGAAUUAAAGGAAAAGAGCUGUGGCUGUUGGAUAAGGUCUCUGUCAGGAGAGAGCGUGCAGCAGUGCCUCCAUGAUAGGCUUCAGUUUCCCUGUUAUCUUGACUACAGGAAAUCCCUCCUCACAGCCAACGGUGAAGCACCCUCCAUCGCUGGUGGUAUGGGAAUGUUUCACAAUUACAGUGGUGGCAAAUGAAAAAAUUAACCAAAAUAAUCAUCUGGAAAUUCUGAGUGACCAUCUACCGAAUUCAUUCAAGGAUGUGCAGGCAGACAUUUUCGUGCAGGAUGGUGCACCAUGCCAUAUUGCCAAAUCAGUGGUGCAGUAGCUGUAGGACUGUGAAGUUAAGCACAUUUAAGACUGGCCAUGCAACAGACCUGACUUUAACCCCAUUGAGAACUUGUGGGCACUGAUAAAAUGUUGCCUUUGAAACACUGACAUGUCAUCUCUUCCCAAGCUGGAGGCUGCCAUCAGGGAUAUUGGGAUUAUUUUUCCAGCCCAACAACUCCAGAACCUUGUAGAAUCCAUCCCCAAGAGGCUAAAGGACUACAUCAAGCACCAGGACAACAUUACAAAGUACUGGAGAGGUGACACUUGGAGAUCACCAGUCAACAUUUUGAAAGUGGUAGUCUUGCCAGCACCAUUGAUCCCCAGGAGGCCAAAGCACUCUCCAAGAGGCACCCCAAGAUUGAUGUGGUCCACUGCUGUCAGUCCACCUGGGUAGGUCUUACACAGAUCCCUGAGAAAGGAAUGAUGUGUUAGCAAGGGAUACAACUCUAACACUAACAUCUGACUGACGAACAUAUGAGCCUAUCAGAAUCCAUUAGUUUGUCUGGUGGAGUAUUAAGGAUGCGGAGUCUCUCUGCAACCACGUCCUCAUCUUCCUCUGUGUCCAGCCCAUCCUCCAACUCCCGUCCUGCCGUAUAAAGAAUCACGGCAUUGUACAUAA